CGCCGUCCCUUCGCCUCCACGGUUCGCCGCCCCUUCGCCUCCACGGUUCGUCGCCCCUUCGCCGCCGUUGCUUUGCCGCCAUGAUUCGCCAUCCCUUCGGCUCCACGAUUCGCCGCCAUGAUUAUAUCAGGUUGUCGUCGCCUCGAUUGUCUUCUCCCUGGACAUAGCCAUCGCCCCUUUGUUCUUUUCCCCGCGGAACUAUCUCUCCGUGAAUGCUCUCCUCCCUCUGAUUCCCUUAACUAGAUACAAGGACAACUAUGAUACAACGAGUAUGCAUGAAAUGAAACUACGUCAGAAUGCAAUUGAAGAUGGUACAAACACGGCUGGCAAACAAGUUCAAAUGUUCUUCUUUUUCUCGUUUUAUUUCCUGCAAAUUUCGAAAAUUAAAGAAUGAAUCUGCAGUUUGAAUCCCGGAUUCACAUCGAAAGGGGCAAGACAGAGGAAAACAGGCACGGAUGGAAAGAGCAAUUAAGGAUCAAUUGGAUAACUU